rnacentral:rRNA from 1 species
GAUGAACGCUAGCGAUAGGCUUAACACAUGCAAGUCGAGGGGCAGCAUGGUCUUAGCUUGCUAAGACUGAUGGCGACCGGCGCACGGGUGCGUAACGCGUACGCAACUUGCCUCACAGAGGGGGAUAACCCGUCGAAAGACGGACUAAUACCGCGUACACUUGGGAUAGGGCAUCCUGAUCCAAGGAAAUGAAAUUCGCUGUGAGAAAGGCAUGCGUCCCAUUAGCUAGUUGGUGCGGUAACGGCUCACCCAGGUGACGAUGGGUAGGGGAACUGAGAGGGCGAUACCGGGUCAUGGUGCUGUGUGACGUACCAGGCGCCAGCGGGCGGCAGCAGGGGGGAAGAUUCGUCAAUGGGCGAGAGCCUAAACCAUCAAAGUCGCGUGAAGCAUCACUGUCUUAUGGAAUGUAAUCGUCUUAUGUGCGGGAUUGAGUAACAUCACGCGUGGCUCCGUGAAUGUACCGUAUGAAUAAGCAUCGGCUAACUCCGUG